AUGACGAUGAGGGAGCAGCAUAUCUCAGACCUCAUCGGCGACGACGCAGAGAGGUUGGGCAGGCUCCAGGAAAUCGACUCGUGGUUCUCAACGGCGAAAGGGCUAAACAAGGGGUCGUACAGGGUGAGAGUCAGGAUGACCUAUGACGAGCUGAUGGAGUGCUUCCCCAACUUUGAGUCCCAGCCGGUGAUGAAGGUGCUCUUGUGGGCGAUGAUGGCGGCGGAUUCACCAGAUCUAGAGCAGCGACACAAGUGGCGUGUGUUCCGCUCGAUGCGCUACCGCCAAGCUCUGUCGCCCAUGGCGCCGAUGGUGGUGGUGAUGGGGCUCCCGGCCUCGGGGACAAAAGAGGCUCCAAUCGAGGUGGUGGACGAAGAGGAAGAGGUACCGUGGCGGAGGGCGAGGGGCGAGGAGGAUCAUGGUAGCGCUCCCACGCUGUUCUCCCCGCUUCUCGUUGUUGGAAAUAUGCCCUAG
rnacentral:rRNA from 1 species